CCACGUUGAAAGCACCGGUUCUCGUCCGAUCACCGAAGUUAAGGAACGUUGG
rfam:Trichobilharzia regenti genome assembly, scaffold: TRE_scaffold0003667